CACUAGACAUACGGCGGACUGAAGACCUGGCUCUCCGCACCACAGAAACUUUGUGUAUCCAGGCAACAGUAGGGAGGUAGAAUGGUGGGAUGGGCAACCACCUGCUUCCACAGAGCUCAUGAGCUGUCAGGCCUUGGCCUGGGGAGCAGCUCCUCCCUGCCUCUCUGUCGAUUGCUUCACGCCUAUCUGGCUACGGAACAUUCCUCACAUUCUAGGAUCAAGAGGCAGAGUUUGGUUUUUGUGGUGGCUGUCAAGGUGGAGGAAGGCAGAGAGCAUCCCAUGAAUCAAGUUCUUGCUUCUUCCCCGAGUGCCAGCCGUUGGAAAAUAACCCCACCCAGGCUCGCUCUGUAAAGCCCUCCCUUGGCUUUCUGAUAAACCUGAAGAUAUGGGCUCAGAGUUUCACCUGAGCACCAGUCCCAGCCGUGAGCCCGCUCACCCAAGCCCUCAGCCUUGGUUCCCAAGGUGCUGUGCAGACCUGCACUUCCCACAUGAUGAACGGGAAAGCAAAACCCUUUAGGCUGCACAUGUGUACAAAAUCCAGCCGUACAUGGCAAAUGAAUGGAUACAUCUCCUGGUAGCUGGGUGUGCGGUAAGCAGGAGAACGCAAUUUGGAUGCACGAGCUGACACUCAAGCUCCCACAAAUGAAUAGAACACACAUGGGCAGAGUACAAACAUGAGAAGAGAGAUGACUGACAGAUCUAAAGACCUCUAAUAAAUUACUCGAUUCUUCCU